AUUGAACGCUGGCGGCAGGCCUAACACAUGCAAGUCGAGCGGAGCGACGGACGGGGGAGUAAUGCCUAGGAAUCUGCCUGGUAGUGGUGGAUAACGUCCGGAAACGGGCGCUAAUACCGCAUACUAUCAGAUGAGCCUAGGUCGGAUUAGCUAGGUGGUGGGGUAAAGGCCUACCAAGGCGACGAUCAGUAACCGGUCUGAGAGGGUGAUCAGUCACACUGGAACUGAGACACGGUCCAGACUCCUACGGGAGGCAGCAGUGGGGAAUGUUGGCCAAUGGGCGAAAGCCGGAUCCAGCCAUGCCGCGUGUGUGAAGAGGGUCUUCGGAUUGUAAAGUACUUUAAGUUGGGAGGCGUUACCAACAGAAUAAGCACCGGCUAACUUCGUGCCAGCAGCCGCGGUAAUAC
rnacentral:rRNA from 1 species